CCUACGGGAGGCAGCAGUGGGGAAUAUUGCGCAAUGGGCGAAAGCCUGACGCAGCGACGCCGCGUGAGGGAUGAAGGUCUUCGGAUCGUAAACCUCUGUCAGCAGGGAAGAACGGUCACUGUGCUAAUCAGCAGUGAAUUGACGGUACCUGCAAAGGAAGCACCGGCUAACUCCGUGCCAGCAGCCGCGGUAAUACGGAGGGUGCGAGCGUUAAUCGGAAUUACUGGGCGUAAAGCGCUCGUAGGCGGGAUGUCAAGUCAAGGGUGAAAUCCCCGCGCUCAACGUGGGAACUGCCUUUGAAAUUGGCAAACUGGAGUGUGUGAGAGGAUAGUGGAAUUCCAGGUGUAGGAGUGAAAGCCGUAGAUAUCUGGAGGAACAUCAGUGGCGAAGGCGACUAUCUGGCACAUAACUGACGCUGAGGAGCGAAAGCGUGGGUAGCAAACAGGAUUAGAUACCCCGGUAGUC
rnacentral:rRNA from 1 species